GAUGAACGCUGGCUCCAGGCUUAACACAUGCAAGUCGAGGGGAAACGACGGGGAAGCUUGCUUCCCCGGGCGUCGACCGGCGCACGGGUGAGUAACGCGUAUCCAACCUGCCUCUGACUGAGGGAUAACCCGUCGAAAGUCGGCCUAAUACCUCAUGGCAUCGUCUGCGGGCAUCCAACGACGAUUAAAGAUUUCAUCGGUCAGGGAUGGGGAUGCGUCUGAUUAGCUUGUUGGCGGGGUAACGGCCCACCAAGGCUACGAUCAGUAGGGGUUCUGAGAGGAAGGUCCCCCACAUUGGAACGGAGACACGGUCCAAACUCCUACGGGAGGCAGCAGUGAGGAAUAUUGGUCAAUGGGCGGGAGCCUGAACCAGCCAAGUAGCGUGCAGGAUGACGGCCCUAUGGGUUGUAAACUGCUUUUAUGCGGGGAUAAAGUGAGGGACGUGUCCUUCAUUGCAGGUACCGCAUGAAUAAGGACCGGCUAAUUCCGUG
rnacentral:rRNA from 1 species